rnacentral:lncRNA from 1 species
AGGGAGGCUCAGAGGGUUUGUGUUGUAAAUGGAGGCUCAGAGGGUUUGUGUUGUAAAUGGAGCCUGAGAGGGUUUUUGUUGUAAAGCGAGGCUCAAAAUGAGGCUGAGAGGCCCUCUGGUGUAAAUAGAGGUUUUUUGUUGUAAAUGGAAUUAUUAAACCUCAUCAAUAUAAUCAUGCCCCCCCCCCAUUGUAACUAGGUAACAGAGGUUUCCUGGUUCAUCACUAGUAAUCGCUCUGAGGUGAAUGACAUCAAAUGUACCGCUGUUGGGGACACAUUUAACCCCUUCAACAUGGAGACUGAGAGCUCCAGUUGCUCCAUAGACAGUGUUCUGGGGUGUGAGGUGGGAGAUCUAACAACCAGACAGGGUAAUGUCAGCUUGACACACAGACAGCUGUUCACUGACGCAAGCAUACAACUGGCUGGAGACUACACAGUGGUCCACAGGUCUGUGGUACUAAAGAGCGGCACCAAGGUUCUGGCGUGUGCCGACAUCCUCCCACAAUCCCCUUGGGCGGUGCAGACCUUCCCCGUUGGCACGUCUUUCAGCAGGUGCGUUUGACCAAGCAGGCGUUGACCCCAGGUCAUCUUGUUUUGGGAACACAUGCAUGACUCAUGAUCAGGUAUGAAAACGUAGUAUCAUGGCGUGAGAAAGGUGUGGAAAUGUUGGAAAUACGUUGUGGGAAACGUUCACUGACAAAUAUGUCAUACAAAUCCAACCCAUUCUUAAACCCUAACACAGUAAUAUUAAUGUCAAUUUGAAUGUCAUCCAGUGACAUUAACAUAUUUUGUUAUUAGGCACAGAUGUUAGGUUCUGUAUUUGUUCCGUUUGGGUUUUGGCAUUCAUUUAGCUUUUUUUCUGGAAUACCUGUGACCCACAGCACGACCAAUGCCUGUCACAAAUGUCGUCCCUUCCCCACCAGAUACAUACAAAAACACAGUUACAUAAAUUGUUAAAUUUCAAUAUUUUCUCUAGAUAUGACUUCCGCAGUAAGGUGGCGGAUGUUCUGGAGGUCGACGUGUCCAGGGUCACCAUCCUUCCAGGGUCUCCUGUGGCCACGAGGGACGGGACAUGCCUAGAAGUCCGCUAUCUUGUCUCAGGGGACGUGAGUACAGACAAGAUGAACUCUGUCAAAGACAGUCCGAAGAUGGGCCUGCUGAGACAGACAAAGGUUUGCUCAAGUAAGCAAACUAUUUUAUAAACACUAACACACACAUCCCAUCCCUCAGCAAACACGCAUACACUUACUUGAUUUCCUGCCUGUUGGGCCCUGUCCAGGAGAUGGGGUCCUGGUCCGCACCUGCGGAGUAACUGGUUUGGGGGGCUCGUUGCUGUCCCUGUCCUUGUCCACCUGGUCAUACUUUUGACCUAGUCUAGAAUCAAAUAGACUCUGGAUUUAACCCAGAGAAAUGUAUUUAUUAUUCUAAUUGGACUCUUAAUAUCUCACCCAGCACAGCCAGAAGAGGACUGGUCACCCCUCUGAGCCUGGGUCCUCUCUAGGUUUCUUCCUAAAAUUCGGCCUUCUUAGGGAGUUUUUCCUAGCCACUGAAAUCCAACACUACUGUUGUUUGCUCCUUGGGGUUUAAGGCCGGGUGUCUCUGCAAAGCACUUUGUGACAACUGCUGUUGUAAAAAGGGCUUUAUAAAUAAAUUUGAUUGAUUGACUAGUACAUAAUACAACAAGUGUGGCAUCAGAAACUAAUAAUAGCAAAUACAACUUCCUAUGUUAAAUCUUUCUUAAUGUAAUAAUAUCUUUCAUCUGACUUUUCUUUUGCUAGGAAGUGCUGGACUACGAUGGGAGCCAGGGAGAUAUCUGACAGUGUUCACUAUAGCUGCAGCCUAUGUCAUACACUCUUUGAUGAUCCACCAGUAGUUCAAAUCCUGUACAUGUUAACCCUAAUAGGAAUAAACACUGGUACUUUUCCAAGCUGCAAUGAAGUUUACAUUUAAAUGCCAACUUCCUGUAUUAUAUUGUAAAAUGUCAAAGUUUGGAUGAAUAUUGCUGAGUAUUUUGUUUAAGGUCAAUAUCCAACAUCAGAGCAAAAGUAAUAAGACAAGAAUUGUUCAUUUGUGAAACUGUGCAGUUUCUGCUCAUCCAACCUGCAGUUUUGGAAACUGAUGCUGUACAUUUAUUCCAGUCGGCCACUAUAUUCAUGCGUUUUCUCAUGGUUGUCACUGCCACAUUUCCAUCCAUUUUAUUUUCAAGUCUUGUUUGUGUUUUUAUUUAUUUACAAAUAUUUUGAUGAUUAAGAAAUAAAUUUGGAUACAUCCCUUUACAACUGCA